rnacentral:rRNA from 1 species
CACGUAGGGUGCAAGCGUUGUCCGGAAUUAUUGGGCGUAAAGAGCGUGUAGGCGGCCCGAUUAGUCCGCUGUGAAAGUCCAGGGCUCAACCCUGGAAUGCCGGUGGAUACUGUCGGGCUAGAGUCCGGAAGGGGCGAGUGGAAUUCCUGGUGUAGCGGUGAAAUGCGCAGAUAUCAGGAGGAACACCAAUGGCGAAGGCAGCUCGCUGGGACGUGACUGACGCUGAGACGCGAAAGCGUGGGGAGCAAACAGG